CUACUCAUGCAGUCGUAACAAGGUAACCGUAAUGCUUCUGUUGACAGCAAGCGGACGGGUGAGUAAUGCCUAGGAAUCUGCCUGGUAGUGGGGGAUAACGUUCGGAAACGAACGCUAAUACCGCAUACGUCCUACGGGAGAAAGCAGGGGACCUUCGGGCCUUGCGCUAUCAGAUGAGCCUAGGUCGGAUUAGCUAGUUGGUGAGGUAAUGGCUCACCAAGGCGACGAUCCGUAACUGGUCUGAGAGGAUGAUCAGUCACACUGGAACUGAGACACGGUCCAGACUCCUACGGGAGGCAGCAGUGGGGAAUAUUGGACAAUGGGCGAAAGCCUGAUCCAGCCAUGCCGCGUGUGUGAAGAAGGUCUUCGGAUUGUAAAGCACUUUAAGUUGGGAGGAAGGGCAUUAACCUAAUACGUUAGUGUUUUGACGUUACCGACAGAAUAAGCACCGGCUAACUCUGUGCCAGCAGCCGCGGUAAUACAGAGGGUGCAAGCGUUAAUCGGAAUUACUGG
rnacentral:rRNA from 1 species